GCGGAGGAAAAGAAACCAACAGGGAUUGCCUCAGUAACGGCGAGUGAAGCGGCAAAAGCUCAAAUUUUAAAGCUGACAUCUUCGGUGUCCGCGUUGUAAUUUUGUGAGGCAUCUCCGGGUAGGGCGCCGGCCUAAGUUCCUUGGAACAGGACGUCACAGAGGGUGAGAAUCCCGUGCUUGGCUGGCUGUCCCCGUCCAUGUGAGGUGUCUUCGACGAGUCGAGUUGUUUGGGAAUGCAGCUCAAAAUGGGUGGUAAAUUUCAUCUAAAGCUAAAUAUUGGUGGGAGACCGAUAGCGCACAAGUAGAGUGAUCGAAAGAUGAAAAGCACUUUGAAAAUAGAGUUAAAAAGUACGUGAAAUUGUUGAAAGGGAAGCGCUUGAGACCAGACUUCGGUAAGGGGUGAUCAGCCGUCCUUCUGGGCGGUGCACUUGCCCCCCUCCGGGCCAGCAUCGGUUGAGGCGGCGGGAUAAAGGUCCCGGGAAUGUGGCUCCUUCACGGGAGUGUUAUAGCCCGGGUGAAUGCCGCCAGCUUCGACCGAGGACCGCACCCGCAAGGGUUAGGAUGCUUGGCAUAAUGGUCUUCAGCGACCCGUCU
rnacentral:rRNA from 1 species